rnacentral:rRNA from 1 species
UACGUAGGGUGCAAGCGUUGUCCGGAAUUAUUGGGCGUAAAGAGCUCGUAGGCGGUCUGUCACGUCGGCUGUGAAAUCCCGAGGCUCAACCUCGGGUCUGCAGUCGAUACGGGCAAACUAGAGUAUUGCAGGGGAGACUGGAAUUCCUGGUGUAGCGGUGGAAUGCGCAGAUAUCAGGAGGAACACCGAUGGCGAAGGCAGGUCACUGGGCCGCAACUGACGCUGAGGAGCGAAAGCAUGGGGAGCGAACAGG